UACGUAGGCAGCGAGCGUUGUUCGGAAUUACUGGGCGUAAAGCGUGCGCAGGCGGUUUUGUAAGCCGGAUGUGAAAUCCCCGGGCUUAACCUGGGAAUGGCAUUCGGGACUGCAAGGCUGGAGUGCGGCAGAGGAGACUGGAAUUCCUGGUGUAGCAGUGAAAUGCGUAGAUAUCAGGAGGAACACCGGUGGCGAAGGCGGGUCUCUGGGCCGAUGACUGACGCUGAGGAGCGAAAGCGUGGGGAGCGAACAGGA
rnacentral:rRNA from 1 species